CCUACGGGAGGCAGCAGUGAGGAAUAUUGGUCAAUGGGCUUACGCCUGAACCAGCCAAGUCGCGUGAGGGAAGACUGCCCUAUGGGUUGUAAACCUCUUUUGUCAGGGAGCAAUUUGCGCUACGUGUAGCGUUAUCUAUAGUCCCUGAAGAAAAAGCAUCGGCUAACUCCGUGCCAGCAGCCGCGGUAAUACGGAGGAUGCGAGCGUUAUCCGGAUUUUUUGGGUUUAAGGGGUGCGUAGGUGGGACUGCAAGUCAGUUGUGAAAAUUACGGGCUCAACCCAUAAACUGCAUUUGAAACUGGAGUUCUUGAGUGAUGUAGAGGUAGGCGGAAUUCCGGGUGUAGCGGUGAAAUGCUUAGAUAUCCGGAGGAACACCAGUGGCGAAGGCGGUCUGCUGGACAUUAACUGACGCUGAGGCGCGAAAGUGUGGGUAGCAAACAGGAUUAGAUACCCUAGUAGUC
rnacentral:rRNA from 1 species